rnacentral:rRNA from 1 species
UACAGAGGUGGCAAGCGUUGUUCGGAAUUACUGGGCGUAAAGGGCGCGUAGGCGGCCUUCUAAGUCAGACGUGAAAUCCCCCGGCUUAACCUGGGAACUGCGUCUGAUACUGGAAGGCUUGAGUGCGGGAGAGGGAUGUGGAAUUCCAGGUGUAGCGGUGAAAUGCGUAGAUAUCGGGAGGAACACCAGUGGCGAAGGCGGUUGCCUGGAGCUUUGCUGACGCUGAUGCGCGAAAGCGUGGGGAGCGAUCCGG